AUUGAACGCUGGCGGCAUGCCUUACACAUGCAAGUCGAACGGCAGCACGGGAGCAAUCCUGGUGGCGAGUGGCGAACGGGUGAGUAAAGUAUCGGAACGUGCCCAGUCGUGGGGGAUAACGUAGCGAAAGUUACGCUAAUACCGCAUACGAUCUAUGGAUGAAAGCGGGGGAUCGCAAGACCUCGCGCGAUUGGAGCGGCCGAUAUCAGAGUAGGUAGUUGGUGGGGUAAAGGCUCACCAAGCCGACGAUCUGUAGCUGGUCUGAGAGGACGACCAGCCACACUGGGACUUAGACACGGCCCAGACUCCUACGGGAGGCAGCAGUGGGGAAUUUUGGACAAUGGGCGAAAGCCUGAUCCAGCCAUGCCGCGUGCAGGAUGAAGGCCUUCGGGUUGUAGACUGCUUUUGUACGGAACGAAAAGGUUUGGCCUAAUAAGCUGAGCUCAUGACGGUACCGUAAGAAUAAGCACCGGCUAACUACGUGCCAGCCGCCGCCGUAU
rnacentral:rRNA from 1 species